UAUUAUUAUAUAUGUAAAUGUUUAUAAGGCUUGAGUAGUAUUAGUUAGGUUCUUGAAACUCAAAGAAUUUGGCGGUUUUUUAGUCUAUUUAGAGGAAUCUGUCCUGUAAUCGAUAGUACACGAUUUGUUAAACUUGAUUUUGUUAUCAAUUUGUAUAUCGCCGUUAUAAGAAUAUCUUUUAAGUUUGAGGGUAUUUAAUUUUCUUAAUUUUUAAUUGGGGCUUAUAUCAGGUCAAGGUGCAGUUUAUGAUUAAGUAGAGAUGGAUUACAAUAAUUUUAGUUAUAAUGAAUUAAUAUAUUUAAGGGUUAUUAUGAAGGUGGAUUUAAUUGUAAGUUUAUUAUUAAAUUUUUAAGCUGAUUGUGGCUCUAAAAUAUGCACACAUCGCCCGUCGCUCUCAUUUUUAAGUGAG
rnacentral:rRNA from 1 species